AGAGUUUGAUCCUGGCUCAGAUUGAACGCUGGCGGCGUGCUUAACACAUGCAAGUCGAUCGGUAACAGGUGUAGCAAUACAUGCUGACGAGGGGCGGACGGGUGAGGAACGCUUGGGAAUCUGCCUAUCAGCGGGGGACAACCCGGGGAAACUCGGGCUAAUACCGCAUACGCUCUACGGAGGAAAGCCGGGGACCGCAAGGCCUGGCACUGAUAGAUGAGCCCAAGCCGGAUUAGCUAGUUGGCGGGGUAACGGCCCACCAAGGCGACGAUCCGUAGCUGGUCUGAGAGGACGAUCAGCCACACCGGAACUGAGACACGGUCCGGACUCCUACGGGAGGCAGCAGUGGGGAAUAUUGGACAAUGGGCGAAAGCCUGAUCCAGCGACGCCGCGUGGGUGAAGAAGGCCUGCGGGUUGUAAAGCCCUUUCGGUAGGGACGAAAGCUCUCGACCUAACACGUCGGGAGGUUGACUUAACCUACAAAAGAAGCACCGGCUAACUCUGUGCCAGCAGCCGCGGUAAUACAGAGGGUGCGAGCGUUAAUCGGAAUUACUGGGCGUAAAGCGCACGUAGGCGGCUUGGUAUGUCGGGUGUGAAAUCCCCGGGCUCAACCUGGGAACUGCAUCCGAAACUGCCUUGCUCGAGUAUGGGAGAGGGAAGUGGAAUUUCCGGUGUAGCGGUGAAAUGCGUAGAUAUCGGAAGGAACAUCAGUGGCGAAGGCGACUUCCUGGACCAAUACUGACGCUCAGGUGCGAAAGCGUGGGGAGCAAACAGGAUUAGAUACCCUGGUAGUCCACGCC
rnacentral:rRNA from 1 species